UUCUUGUUAGUUCUAAGUGAAUUCCCUCGGUAUGAUAAUUUGUUCAUCAGUUUGUUCCCCGUUUCUUCUCUAGCCUGAGCCUGACACACUAUUCUAGCUAGACAUGGGUGUGGCUCGUAACACCUGAUGACCAAACGGAUCUACGACACCAUCGAAUCUCAAACUUUAACUACCAAAACUAUUGUUUUUCAUCCUCUAGUCCCUUUUAGAAUUACUAAACGUCCUUUUUUGGGCCGAGAUUUCCAGGAACGCUUUCUCGGGGUUUGUGUGCAUGUAUUUCAAACCAUACAGACCUAAAAAUUAGAAGUCAUUCCAUCUUUAUUCCCGUAGAGCCUUCCAGCAGUUCCUAAACCGCUCCAGUCGGAGCAUGUUAUCAUUCUUGUUUGUUCUGAGUGAAUUCCCUCGGUAUGAUAAUUCUAUCAUCAGUUUGUUCCCCGUUUCUUCUCUAGCCUGAGCCUGGCAAACUAUUCNNNNNNNNNNNNNNNNNNNNNNNNNNNNNNNNNNNNNNNNNNNNNNNNNNNNNNNNNNNNNNNNNNNNNNNNNNNNNNNNNNNNNNNNNNNNNNNNNNNNNNNNNNNNNNNNNNNNNNNNNNNNNNNNNNNNNNNNCUAAACCGCUCUAGUCGGAGCACGUUAUCAUUCUUGUUAGUUCUGAGUGAAUUCCCUCGGUAUGAUAAUUCUUUCAUCAGUUUGUUCCCUGUUUCUUCUCUAGCCUGAGCCUGACACACUAUUCUAGCUAGACAUGGGUGUGGCUCGUAACACCUAAUGACCAAACGGAUCGACGGCACCAUCGAAUCUCAAACUUUAACUGCCAAAACUAUUGUUUUUCAUCCUGUUGUCCCAUUUAGAAUUACUAAACGUCCUUUUUUGGGCCGAGAUUUAGAGGAACGCUUUCUCGGGGUUUGUGUGCAAGUAUUUCAAACCAUACGGACCUAAAAAUUAGAAGUCAUUCCAUCUUUAUUCCCCUAGAGCCUUCCAGCAGUUCCUAAACCGCUCAAGUCAGAGCAUGUUAUCAUUCUUGUUAGUUCUGAGUGAAUUCCCUCGGUAUGAUAAUUCUUUCAUCAGUUUGUUCCCUGUUUCUUCUCUAGCCUGAGCCUGACACACUAUUCUAGCUAGACAUGGGUGUGGCUCGUAACACCUGAUGACCAAACGGAUCUACGACACCAUUGAAUCUCAAACUUUAACUACCAAAACUAUUAUUUUUCAUCCUGUAGUCCCUUUUAGAAUUACUAAACGUCCUUUUUUGGGCCGAGAUUUCCAAGAACGCUUUCUCGUGGUUUGUGUGCAAGUAUUUCAAACCAUACAGACCUAAAAAUUAGAAGUCAUUCCAUCUUUAUGCCCGUAGAGCCUUCCAGCAGUUCCUAAACCGCUCCAGUCGGAGCACGUUAUCAUUCUUAUUAGUUCUGAGUGAAUUCCCUCAGUAUGAUAAUUCUUUCAUAAGUUUGUUCCCCAUUUCUUCUCUAGCCUGAGCCUGGCACACUAUUCUAGCUAGACAUGGGUGUGGCUCAUAACACUUGUUGACUAAAUGGAUCGACGGCACCAUCGAAUCUCAAACUUUAACUGCCAAAACUAUUGUUUUUCAUCCUGUAGUCCCAUUUAGAAUUAUUAAACGUCCUUUUUUGGGCCGAUAUUUAGAGUAAUGCUUUCUCGGGGUUUGUCUGCAAGUAUUUCAAACCAUACGGACCUAAAAAUUAGAAGUCAUUCCAUCUUUAUUCCCCUAGAGCCUUCCAGCAGUUCCUAAACCGCUCUAGUCGGAGCACGUUAUCAUUCUUGUUAGUUCUGAGUGAAUUCCCUCAGUAUGAUAAUUCUUUCAUCUGUUUGUUCCCCGUUUCUUCUCUAGCCUGAGCCUGACACACUAUUCAAGCUAGACAUGGAUGUGGCUCGUAACACCUGAUGACCAAACGGAUCUACGGCACCAUCGAAUCCCAAACUUUAACUGCCAAAACUAUUGUUUUUCAUCCUGUAGUCCCUUUUAGAAUUACUAAACGUCCUUUUUUGGGCCGAGAUUUCCAGGAAUGCUUUCUCGGGGUUUGUGUGCAAGUAUUUCAAACCAUACAAAGCUAGAAAUUAGAAGUCAUUCCAUCUUUAUUAUCGUAGAGCCUUCCAGCAGUUCCUAAACCGGUCUAGUCGGAGCACGUUAUCAUUCUAGUUAGUUCUGAGUGAAUUCCCUCGGUAUGAUAAUUCUUUCAUCAGUUUGUUCCCCGUUUCUUCUCUAGCCUGAGCCUGACAAACUAUUCUAGCUAGACAUGCGUGUGGCUCGUAACACCUGAUGACCAAACGGAUCUAUAGCACCAUCGAAUCUCAAACUUUAACUGCCAAAACUAUUGUUUUCAUCCUGUAGUCCCUUUUAGAAUUACUAAACUUCCUUUUUUGGGCCGAGAUUUAGAGGAACGCUUUCUGGGGUUUGUGUGCAAGUAUUUCAAACCAUACAGACCUAAAAAUUAGAAGUCAUUCCAUCUUUAUUCCCCUAGAGCCUUCCAGCAGUUCCUAAACCGCUCUAGUCGGAGCACGUUAUCAUUAUUGUUAGUUCUGAGUGAAUUCCCUCGGUAUGAUAAUUCUUUCAUCAGUUUGUUCCCUGUUUCUUCUCUAUCCUGAGCCUGACACACUAUUCUAGCUAGACAUGGGUGUGGCUCGUAACACCUGAUGACUAAAUGGAUCGACGGCACCAUCGAAUCUCAAACUUUAACUGCCAAAACUAUUGUUUUUCAUCCUGUAGUCCCAUUUAGAAUUAGUAAACGUCCUUUUUUGGGCCGAGAUUUAGAGGAACGCUUUCUCGGGGUUUGUGUGCAAGUAUUUCAAACCAUACGGACCUAAAAAUUAGAAGUCAUUCCAUCUUUAUUCCCCUAGUCAUCAGGUAUACACUCAAGUCGGAGCACGUUAUCAUUCUUGUUAGUUCUGAGUGAAUUCCCUCGGUAUGAUAAUUCUUUCAUAAAUUUGUUCCCCGUUUCUUAUAUGGCCUGAGCCUGACACACUAUUCUAGCUAGACAUGGGUGUGGCUCGUAACACCUGAUGACCAAACGGAUCUACGGCACCAUCAAAUCUCAAACUUUAACUGCCAAAACUAUUCUUUUUCAUUCUGUAGUCCCUUCUAGAAUUACUAAACGUCCUUUUUUGGGCCGAGAUUUCCAGGAACGCUUUCUCGGGGUUUGUGUGCAUGUAUUUCAAACCAUACAGACCUAAAAAUUAUAAGUCAUUCCAUCUUUAUUCCCGUAGAGCCUUCCAGUAGUUCCUAAACCGCUCCAGUCGGAGCAUGUUAUCAUUCUUGUUAGUUCUAAGUGAAUUCCCUCGGUAUGAUAAUUCUUUCAUCAGUUUGUUCCCCGUUUCUUCUCUAGCCUGAGCCUGGCACACUAGUCUAGCUAGACAUGGGUGUGGCUCGUAACACCCGAUGACUAAAUGGAUCGACGGCACCAUCGAAUCUCAAACUUUAACUGCCAAAACUAUUGUUUUUCAUCCUGUAGUCCCAUUUAGAAUUACUAAACGUCCUUUUUUGGGCCGAGAUUUAGAGGAACGCUUUCUCGUGGUUUGUGUGCAAGAAUUUCAAACCAUACGGACCUAAAAAUUAGAAGUCAUUCCAUCUUUAUUCCCCUAGAGCCUUCCAGUAGUUCCUAAACCGCUCUAGUCGGAGCACGUUAUCAUUCUUGUUAGUUCUGAGAGAAUUCCCUCGGUAUGAUAAUUCUUUUAUCAGUUUGUUCCCCGUUUCUUCUCUAGCCUGAGCCCGACACACUAUUCUAGCUAGACAUGGGUGUGGCUCGUAACACCUGAUGACCAAACGGAUCUACGGCACCAUCGAAUCUCAAACUUUAACUGCCAAAACUAUUGUUUUUCAUCCUGUAGUCCCUUUUAGAAUUACUAAAUGUCCUUUUUUGGGCCGAGAUUUCCAGGAACGCUUUCUCAGGGUUUGUGUGCAAGUAAUUCAAACCAUACGGACCUAAAAAUUAGAAGUCAUUCCAUCUUUAUUCCCCUAGAGCCUUCCAGCAGUUCCUAAACCGCUCAAGUCAGUGCACGUUAUCAUUCUUGUUAGUUCUAAGUGAAUUCCCUCGGUAUGAUAAUUUGUUCAUCAGUUUGUUCCCCGUUUCUUCUCUAGCCUGAGCCUGACACACUAUUCUAGCUAGACAUGGGUGUGGCUCGUAACACCUGAUGACCAAACGGAUCUACGACACCAUCGAAUCUCAAACUUUAACUACCAAAACUAUUGUUUUUCAUCCUCUAGUCCCUUUUAGAAUUACUAAACGUCCUUUUUUGGGCCGAGAUUUCCAGGAACGCUUUCUCGGGGUUUGUGUGCAUGUAUUUCAAACCAUACAGACCUAAAAAUUAGAAGUCAUUCCAUCUUUAUUCCCGUAGAGCCUUCCAGCAGUUCCUAAACCGCUCCAGUCGGAGCAUGUUAUCAUUCUUGUUUGUUCUGAGUGAAUUCCCUCGGUAUGAUAAUUCUAUCAUCAGUUUGUUCCCCGUUUCUUCUCUAGCCUGAGCCUGGCAAACUAUUCUAGCUAGACAUGGGUGUGGCUCGUAACACCUGAUGACCAAACGGAUCUACGACACCAUCGAAUCUCAAACUUUAACUACCAAAACUAUUGUUUUUCAUUCUAUAGUCCCUUCUAGAAUUUCUAAACGUCCUUUUUUGGGCCGAGAUUUCCAGGAAUGCUUUCUCGGGGUUUGUGUGCAAGUAUUUCAAAUCAUACGGACCUAAAAAUUAGAAGUCAUUCCAUCUUUAUUCCCCUAGAGCCUUCCAGUAGUUCCUAAACCGCUCCAGUCGGAGCACGUUAUCAUUCUUGUUAGUUCAUAGUGAAUUCCCUCGGUAUGAUAAUUCUUUCAUCAGUUUGUUCCCCGUUUCUUCUCUAGCCUGAGCCUGGCACAGUAUUCUAGCUAGACAUGGGUGUGGUCGUAACACCUGAUGACUAAAUGGAUCGACGGCACCAUCGAAUCUCAAACUUUAACUGCCAAAACUAUUGUUUUUCAUCCUGUAAUCCCAUUUAGAAUUACUAAACGUCCUUUUUUGGGCCGAGAUUUAGAGGAACGCUUUGUUGGGGUUUGUGUGCAAGUAUUUCAAACCAUACGGACCUAAAAAUUAGAACUCAUUCCAUAUUUAUUCCCCUUGAGCCUUCCAGCAGUUCCUAAACCGCUCUAGUCGGAGCACGUUAUCAUUCUUGUUAGUUCUAAGAGAAUUCCCUCGGUAUGAUAAUUCUUUUAUCAGUUUGUUCCCCGUUUCUUCUCUAGACUGGGCCCGACACACUAUUCUAGCUAGACAUGGGUGUGGCUCGUAACACCUGAUGACCAAACGGAUCUACGGCACCAUCGAAUCUCAAACUUCAACUGCCAAAACUAUUGUUUUUCAUCCUGUAGUCCCUUUUAGAAUUACUAAACGUCCUUUUUUGGGCCGAGAUUUCCAGGAACGCUUUCUCGGGGUUUGUGUGCAAGUAUUUCAAACCAUACGGACCUAAAAAUUAGAAGUCAUUCCAUCUUUAUUCCCGUAGAGCCAUCCAGCAGUUCCUAAACCGCUCCAGUCGGAGCACGUUAUCAUUCUUGUUAGUUCUGAGUGAAUUCCCUCGGUAUGAUAAUUCUUUCAUCAGUUUGUUCCCCGUUUCUUCUCUAGCCUGAGCCUGACAAACUAUUAUAGCUAGACAUGGGUGUGGCUCGUAACACCUGAUGACCAAACGGAUCUAUGGCACCAUCGAAUCUCAAACUUUAACUGCCAAAACUAUUGUUUUUCAUCCUGUAGUCCCUUUUAGAAUUACUAAACGCCCUUCUUUGGGACGAGAUUUCCAGGAACGCUUUCUCGGGGUUUGUGUGAAAGUAAUUCAAACCAUACGGACCUAAAAAUUAGAAGUCAUUCCAUCUUUAUUCCCGUGGAGCCUUCCAGUAGUUCCUAAACCGCUCCAGUCGGAGCACGUUAUCAUUCUUGUUAGUUCUGAGUGAAUUCCCUCGGUAUGAUAAUUCUUUCAUCAGUUUGUUCCCUGUUUCUUCUCUAGCCUGAGCCUGGCACACUAUUCUAGCUAGACAUGGGUGUGGCUCGUAACACCUGAUGACUAAACUGAUCAAUGACACCAUCGAAUCUCAAACUUUAACUGCCAAAACUAUUGUUUUUCAUCCUGUAGUCCCAUUUAGAAUUACUAAACGUCCUUUUUUGGGCCGAGAUUUCCAGGAACGCUUACUCGGGGUUUGUGUGCAAGUAUUUCAAACCAUACUGACCUAAAAAUUAGAAGUCAAUCCAUCUUUAUUCCCCUAGAGCCUUCCAGCAGUUCCUAAACCGCUCCAGUCGGAGCACGUUAUCAUUCUUGUUAGUUCUGAGUGAAUUCCCUCGGUAUGAUAAUUCUUUCAUCAGUUUGUUCCUUGUUUCUUCUCUAGCCUGAACCUGACACACUAUUCUAGCUAGACAUGGGUGUGGCUCGUAACACCUGAUGACCAAACGGAUCUACGGCACCAUCGAAUCUCAAACUUUAACUGCCAAAACUAUUAUUUUUAAUCCUCUAGUCCCAUUUAGAAUUACUAAACGUCCUUUUUUGGGCCGAGAUUUAGAGGAACGCUUUCAUGCGGUUUGUGUGCAAGUAUUUCAAACCAUACGGACCUAAAAAUUAGAAGUCAUUCCAUCUUUAUUCCCCUAGAGCCUUCCAGCAGUUCCUAAACCGCUCCAGUCGGAGCAUGUUAUCAUUCUUGUUAGUUCUGAGUGAAUUCCCUCGGUAUGAUAAUUCUUUCAUCAGUUUGUGGCCCGUUUCUUCUCUAGCCUGAGCCUGACACACUAUUCUAGCUAGACGUGGGUGUGGCUCGUAACACCUGAUGACCAAACGGAUCUACGGCACCAUCGAAUCUCAAACUUUAAGUGCCAAAACUAUUAUUUUUAAUCCUGUAGUCCCAUUUAGAAUUAC
rnacentral:lncRNA from 1 species